AGCUAACGCUGGCGGCAGGCCUAACACAUGCAAGUCGAGCGGCCGUAGCAAUACGGCAGCGGCAGACGGGAGAGUAACACGUGGGAACGCGCCCUUCGGUUCGGGAUAACUCGGGGAAACUUGGGCUAAUACCGGAUACGCCCUUACGGGGAAAGAUUUAUUGCCGAAGGAACGGCCCGCGUCCGAUUAGCUUGUUGGUGAGGUAACGGCUCACCAAGGCGACGAUCGGUAGCUGGUCUGAGAGGAUGACCAGCCUCACUGGGACUGAGACACGGCCCAGACUCCUACGGGAGGCAGCAGUGGGGAAUAUUGGACAAUGGGCGCAAGCCUGAUCCAGCCAUGCCGCGUGGGUGAUGAAGGCCCUAGGGUUGUAAAGCCCUUUCAGCGGGGAAGAUAAUGACGGUACCCGCAGAAGAAGCCCCGGCUAACUUCGUGCCAGCCGCCGCGGUAAUAC
rnacentral:rRNA from 1 species